AUUGAACGCUGGCGGCAUGCCUAACACAUGCAAGUCGAACGGGGCAGCAAUGCCUAGUGGCGGACGGGUGAGGAAUACGUAGGAAUCUGCCCUUAAGUGGGGGAUAACCAGGGGAAACCCUGACUAAUACCGCAUGAUCUCUUCGGAGCAAAGAGGGGGACCGCAAGGCCUCUCGCUUCUGGAUGAGCCUACGUCUGAUUAGCUAGUUGGUAGGGUAAAGGCCUACCAAGGCGACGAUCAGUAACUGGUCUGAGAGGAUGAUCAGUCACACCGGAACUGAGACACGGUCCGGACUCCUACGGGAGGCAGCAGUGGGGAAUAUUGGACAAUGGGCGCAAGCCUGAUCCAGCGAUGCCGCGUGUGUGAAGAAGGCCUUCGGGUUGUAAAGCACUUUAGCCUGGAAAGAAAAAACUUUGGUUAACACCCAAAGUCUUGACGGUACCAGGAGAAUAAGCACCGGCUAACUCUGUGCCAGCCGCCGCCGUAAAAC
rnacentral:rRNA from 1 species